rnacentral:piRNA from 1 species
UGGCCAUUCAAUCAGACUUUAAAGAUCCA